rnacentral:lncRNA from 1 species
GCGCAUGCUUACUGUGGGUGUUGUUUGUAGAGUCAGACUUUUGCUUUCAAUUAUAGAGUUUGAGAAAGUUAGGGAUCCUUGAUGGAAGGCGGAAUAUUGCUAAUCUUUUCCUUUUCGUGUCGAUAACGUAGGAUCAGCUUAUGACAUUCAUGCUAGGUAAGCGAUGUCGAAAGUAAAAAAACUCAACGUCAAGAUUUAAGCCUAACAUUAGUCCUACGAAUUAAAAGGGGGAAAAUCGAUUUCGGUCUAAUAAAUAGAUCGAUAAACAAUAAAUAAAUGUUACUAAUUUCUGAGAUAAACGAGAGUGAAGAUGGUGUUACGUAUCAGACUUAAGCCGCUUAUAUGCAUAUGAAAUUUAUAUAUAGGCCUAUAUAUAUUAUAUAUAUAUAUAGUUUUGUCUUGCUCUGAUUUUUUUUUGUUUUGGAAAUGUUUGCAACGUCAACUCGAGACACCGAUCAUCAAUUUUACGACUUCGAAAAUGAAGAAAACGCAGCUAAAUGGAAAAGUUUACUCGUAUCAGCUUUGCAGAAGGUAAUAUUUGAUUUUUUUAAUUCCAAUUUCAGCAUUUUAAAAUUUAUAAACAGUUUAGUUCAAGAUAGUAUGCAACCCAAUGAUGCAACCUUAUUUUGUUUUUCUG